CAAGUCGAACGGGAAUCUUCGGAUUCUAGUGGCGGACGGGUGAGUAACGCGUAAGAAUCUAACUUCAGGACGGGGACAACAGUUGGAAACGGCUGCUAAUACCCGAUAUGCCGCGAGGUGAAACCUAAUUGGCCUGAAGAAGAGCUUGCGUCUGAUUAGCUAGUUGGUGGGGUAAGAGCCUACCAAGGCGACGAUCAGUAGCUGGUCUGAGAGGAUGAGCAGCCACACUGGGACUGAGACACGGCCCAGACUCCUACGGGAGGCAGCAGUGGGGAAUUUUCCGCAAUGGGCGAAAGCCUGACGGAGCAACGCCGCGUGAGGGAGGAAGGUCUUUGGAUUGUAAACCUCUUUUCUCAAGGAAGAAGUUCUGACGGUACUUGAGGAAUCAGCCUCGGCUAACUCCGUGCCAGCAGCCGCGGUAAUACGGGGGAGGCAAGCGUUAUCCGGAAUUAUUGGGCGUAAAGCGUCCGCAGGUGGUCAGCCAAGUCUGCCGUCAAAUCAGGUUGCUUAACGACCUAAAGGCGGUGGAAACUGGUAGACUAGAGAGCAGUAGGGGUAGCAGGAAUUCCCAGUGUAGCGGUGAAAUGCGUAGAGAUUGGGAAGAACAUCGGUGGCGAAAGCGUGCUACUGGGCUGUAUCUGACACUCAGGGACGAAAGCUAGGGGAGCGAAAGGGAUUAGAUACCCCUGUAGUCCUAGCCGUAAACGAUGGAUACUAGGCGUGGCUUGUAUCGACCCGAGCCGUGCCGAAGCUAACGCGUUAAGUAUCCCGCCUGGGGAGUACGCACGCAAGUGUGAAACUCAAAGGAAUUGACGG
rnacentral:rRNA from 1 species